CCCAGACUCCUACGGGAGGCAGCAGUGGGGAAUAUUGCACAAUGGGCGAAAGCCUGAUGCAGCAACGCCGCGUGAAGGAAGAAGGCCUUCGGGUCGUAAACUUCUGUCCUUGGGGAAGAAGAACUGACGGUACCCAAGGAGGAAGCCCCGGCUAACUACGUGCCAGCAGCCGCGGUAAUACGUAGGUGGCAAGCGUUAUCCGGAUUUAUUGGGUGUAAAGGGCGUGUAGGCGGGAAUGCAAGUCAGAUGUGAAAACUAUGGGCUCAACCCAUAGCCUGCAUUUGAAACUGUAUUUCUUGAGUGCUGGAGAGGCAAUCGGAAUUCCGUGUGUAGCGGUGAAAUGCGUAGAUAUACGGAGGAACACCAGUGGCGAAGGCGGAUUGCUGGACAGUAACUGACGCUGAGGCGCGAAAGCGUGGGGAGCAAACAGGAUUAGAUACCCUAGUA
rnacentral:rRNA from 1 species